AUGAUCAUCUUAUUCCUGAUCAUUCAUUUCAACAUCUUUCUGGUGUCAGGUUCCUCUGUCGACAAAGAAGUCACCCAGACUCCAGCUCACGUUUACAUCAAACCAGGAGAGAAAACAACAACACUCAACUGUAGACAUGAAAUUAAAGACUAUAAUCGAAUCCUCUGGUACAAGCAGUCAGACGAGGAGAUGAUGUUCCUGGGAUAUGUGUUUAUGAGCAAUCCAAACCCAGAGCCAGGCGUGAAGGUGAAGAUGGGAGGGAGUGCAGAUAAAGGCAAGAACUGCACAUUAACAAUCAAAGAAGUGGAUCUGAACAGCAGUGCAGUGUAUUUCUGUGCUUUCACAGCCCCUUACACCUGUUUCAAAGUCCUCUAA